AUGCGUAUUUUAGCUUUAAGAGCGUAUUUUGCUGCAUGUUUUGCACAUCUAAGUGCAUAGAACGGAGUGCUAAGAGCAUAUCUUUGUGGUCUCUACUGAUAAUUCUGAGAUUAGGCGUCGCCUUCAGAGUGACUCAAUUUUAGAGUUAGUGCCUGUAAGUAAUUGGGACCUACAUCAAUCAUGAAAGUUGUUCUCGUUCUCAUUGUCAUCACAUGGGCUAUGGUGUCAAUUGAAAGUGCCUCUCCAAACGACUUUGAGCAAUGCCUGGAGAAGUGUCCGGUAACAAUGAUGCAUGCGCCUCUUUGUGGCACAAACGGAGUCACUUAUAGCAACCCAUCGCAUUUGCGUUGCUUUAAUAAUUGUGCGGGAACUUCAAUUGAAAAGUCUUCGAAAGGACCUUGUCCAUAAAUUGUAACAUCAUGGAUGGCAAUAAAAUACUGUUUUUAGUCAUUCCA